rnacentral:lncRNA from 1 species
UUGCAUGAUGAGUUUCUGUAUGAUGAGAGUUUAAAUUCCUACCACAGCCAUAUAUACAUGCUUGCUAGACUUUGAGCCACACAUUUAUUAUUUACUGCUUAUGAGCAUUGAGUGUGGUCAAGCUGUGUAGACCCUUAGGAGCUUGUCAUGUGGUUAAAUCAAGAUUUCACUUGCACGUUCACUCAUAUAUGCUACUUCUAUUCUGGAAGUACCAUCCACAUAUAUCCAUUCAUUUCCAUCUCCAGAACCACCUAAAAAUAUUCUACUCCUAAUCCGGGAGAGAAUAACCAAAAAUAUUUCUGUUUUCCCCUUGUGAAAUAAAUGCUCAAGUUAUCUUGUUACUACCACUUGCUAUAUUACCUCAAGAGAUGAGUGCUCUAAAAAAAAGGGAGAAAUAAUAUGAGGAAAUAAAAAGGAGCAAGUGCUCGGAACCUCGAAAGAAAAGAAAAAGUGAGACGAGAGGUAAAAAUGGACAAGUGUCCGACAGUAGAAUUAGGGGUGCAAGAUACCCACCUGAGAGAAAAGAAAAAGAAGAGCAUCUCAUUCUCCUCAUAAAGUUUCAAAAGCAAGGAAGGUAUGUAUCCCC